UACGUAGGGGGCAAGCGUUGUCCGGAUUUAUUGGGCGUAAAGAGCGUGUAGGCGGCCUGGUAGGUCAGCUGUGAAAACUCGAGGCUCAACCUCGAGACGUCGGUUGAAACCACCUGGCUAGAGUCCGGAAGAGGAGAGUGGAAUUCCCGGUAUAGCGGUGAAAUGCGCAGAUAUCGGGAAGAACACCCGUGGCGAAGGCGGCUCUCUGGGACGGUACUGACGCUGAGACGCGAAAGCGUGGGGAGCGAACAGG
rnacentral:rRNA from 1 species